AUUGAACGCUGGCGGCAUGCCUUACACAUGCAAGUCGAACGGCAGCACGGACUUCGGUCUGGUGGCGAGUGGCGAACGGGUGAGUAAUGUAUCGGAACGUACCUUUCAGUGGGGGGAUAACGUAGCGAAAGUUACGCUAAUACCGCAUAUUCUGUGAGCAGGAAAGCAGGGGAUCGCAAGACCUUGCGCUGAUUGAGCGGCCGAUAUCAGAUUAGCUAGUUGGUGGGGUAAAGGCCUACCAAGGCGACGAUCUGUAGCGGGUCUGAGAGGAUGAUCCGCCACACUGGAACUGAGACACGGUCCAGACUCCUACGGGAGGCAGCAGUGGGGAAUUUUGGACAAUGGGGGCAACCCUGAUCCAGCCAUGCCGCGUGAGUGAAGAAGGCCUGGUGUAAGCUCUUCGGUCCGGGACGGAAAUCGCACAGGCUAAUACCCUCGAGUGGAUGACGGUACCGGAA
rnacentral:rRNA from 1 species